UGGCCCCUCUGCCCAAUUGGAAAGACGUGAAGGACUUACGACUGACGAGUGACGACUCAAUGGUGAAUUGAAGUAUCGAACCCCGAUCCUCAUCUUCCGUUGAAACCGUUCUUCAUUGGUUGCUUCUAGUCGUCAGAUGCCUCACGGCCUCAGUGCCUCACACCACAAUUACCACCGUCCACUGUCAGCUCCGCCACCGCAGGUCACCCUCCGGCCUCCACAGCAGACGCAACACGCCAACACAGCAGGCGGCAGCAGCUAGCAGACUUUCAAUCUUCAGUCUUCUCUUCUAAUUAGAAUCUACAACUCGAUGAAGGAGAUGUAUGUGGUGUUUGCAUCUUGAGAGGAUCAUGUGAUAGGGCCUAUUUGAUUCUAAAAGACAUUGAAUUGGGUGCUCGAACUGUAGAUAUUGUGCGCAUUUUGUUAAACUAUGCAAUUGAUCCAGUUAUUGAUUCAAAUAAGAAGACUUUAGGGGCAGAAGUCAUUGAAGCAUCUGCAAGAAAAUUGCUUUUGGAGUUGACUGAACUUAGUGACACAGCCAUUUUCUAUGAAGUUCAAAAGCCACCUGCAACAGUUGCUCGAAAGGUGCAAUUUCUUGAAUUUUUCAAGGAAUAAAAAGUGUCGCGAAUGUAAUGAAGAAGGUCCUUUAAAACCUGGUCUUGAUGAAGUUGAAAUGAAAAAAGGAGAUUGGAACUGUCCUCAUGACAUAAAUGCAGGUGCAAUUUUAUGAAUUUUUCAAGAAACAUUCGGUGUCUAAAAUGCAAAACUGAGGGGCCUAAAAGGGUUGGAAUUGAUGAUGUUGAAAUGAAGAAAGGAGACUGGAACUGCCCACAGUGUCAAUUUACGAAUUUUGCAAGCAACACAAAGUGUUUACGUUGCAGAGAGCAACGUCCCAAAAGGCAACUGAAUUCUGGAGAGUGGGAGUGUCCUUCGUGUGAUUUCUUUAAUUAUGCGGGGAAUGUUGUGUGUCGAAAGUGUAAUGGUGAAAGGCCAAAUAAUGCAGAAGCCAAGUAUGAAGAGCAGAUGUGGAAAAAGCCUUCUUAAUUUUGUUACUCUGGCUACAGAGUGCACGAAGGAAUAAAGCUUUCAACUUUACACAAACUUCGGUCAAGUCACAAGCGAGUGCCAUAACCCAUAUGAAAUGAGAUGUAAAAAUAGGUUUAGAUUGGUGCUUAGUUGGGCCUAUUGGGCCUUGAAGCUUGGUUGUUUAUGAGCCUGUUUGGGCUAAUAGUUUUAGGGUUUGUUUGUUUUUAUUUCAUUAAGCCUUGUAUGGAUAAAUCAUAUCUAUUAAGAAAUGUUGCUGAAUGGAAAUUUAUUUUUUUGAUUGCAAUCCAACAUAAAACAA